rnacentral:rRNA from 1 species
UUUGAACGCUGGCGGAAUGCUUUACACAUGCAAGUCGAGCGGCAGCGUGGGGCAACCUGGCGGCGAGCGGCGAACGGGUGAGUAAUACAUCGGAACGUACCCAGUUGUGGGGGAUAGCCCGGCGAAAGCCGGAUUAAUACCGCAUACGACCUGAGGGUGAAAGUGGGGGAUCGCAAGACCUCACGCAGUUGGAGCGGCCGAUGGCGGAUUAGCUAGUUGGUGGGGUAAAGGCCUACCAAGGCGACGAUCCGUAGCGGGUCUGAGAGGACGACCCGCCACACUGGAACUGAGACACGGUCCAGACUCCUACGGGAGGCAGCAGUGGGGAAUUUUGGACAAUGGGGGCAACCCUGAUCCAGCCAUUCCGCGUGAGUGAAGAAGGCCUUCGGGUUGUAAAGCUCUUUCGGCAGGAACGAAACGGUAGGCUCUAACAUAGCCUGCUAAUGACGGUACCUGAAGAAGAAGCACCGGCUAACUACGUGCCAGCAGCCGCCGUAA